rnacentral:tRNA from 1 species
GGGGCUGUAGCUCAGUUGGUAGUAGCGCCACGGUGGCACCGUGGAGGCCGUCGGUUCGAGCCCGACCAGCUCCA